GAUGAACGCCGGCGGCGUGCCUAAUACAUGCAAGUCGAGCGAACGGACGAGAAGCUUGCUUCUCUGAUGUUAGCGGCGGACGGGUGAGUAACACGUGGAUAACCUACCUAUAAGACUGGGAUAACUUCGGGAAACCGGAGCUAAUACCGGAUAAUAUUUUGAACCGCAUGGUUCAAAAGUGAAAGACGGUCUUGCUGUCACUUAUAGAUGGAUCCGCGCUGCAUUAGCUAGUUGGUAAGGUAACGGCUUACCAAGGCAACGAUGCAUAGCCGACCUGAGAGGGUGAUCGGCCACACUGGAACUGAGACACGGUCCAGACUCCUACGGGAGGCAGCAGUAGGGAAUCUUCCGCAAUGGGCGAAAGCCUGACGGAGCAACGCCGCGUGAGUGAUGAAGGUCUUCGGAUCGUAAAACUCUGUUAUUAGGGAAGAACAUAUGUGUAAGUAACUGUGCACAUCUUGACGGUACCUAAUCAGAAAGCCACGGCUAACUACGU
rnacentral:rRNA from 1 species